rnacentral:rRNA from 1 species
AACUGCGAAUGGCUCAUUAAAUCAGUUAUCGUUUAUUUGAUAGUACCUUACUACUUGGAUAACCGUGGUAAUUCUAGAGCUAAUACAUGCUGAAAACCCCGACUUCGGAAGGGGUGUAUUUAUUAGAUAAAAAACCAAUGCCCUUCGGGGCUCCUUGGUGAUUCAUAAUAACUUCUCAGAUCGCAUGGCCUUGCGCCGGCGACGGUUCAUUCAAAUUUCUGCCCUAUCAACUUUCGAUGGUAAGGUAUUGGCUUACCAUGGUUUCAACGGGUAACGGGGAAUUAGGGUUCGAUUCCGGAGAAGGAGCCUGAGAGACGGCUACUACAUCCAAGGAAGGCAGCAGGCGCGCAAAUUACCCAAUCCCGACACGGGGAGGUAGUGACAAUAAAUACUGAUACAGGGCUCUUUUGGGUCUUGUAAUUGGAAUGAGUACAAUUUAAACCUCUUAACGAGGAACAAUUGGAGGGCAAGUCUGGUGCCAGCAGCCGCGGUAAUUCCAGCUCCAAUAGCGUAUAUUAAAGUUGUUGCAGUUAAAAAGCUCGUAGUUGAACCUUUGGCCUGGCUGGCAGGUCCGCCUCACCGCGUGCACUUGUCCGGCCGGGCCUUUUCUUCUGGAGAACCGCAUGCCCUUCACUGGGUGUGUUGGGGACCAGGACUUUUACUUUGAAAAAAUUAGAGUGUUCAAAGCAGGCCUUUGCUCGAAUAUGUUAGCAUGGAAUAAUAGAAUAGGACGUGCGGUCCUAUUUUGUUGGUUUCUAGGACCGCCGUAAUGAUUAAUAGGGACAGUCGGGGGCAUCAGUAUUCAAUUGUCAGAGGUGAAAUUCUUGGAUUUAUUGAAGACUAACUACUGCGAAAGCAUUUGCCAAGGAUGUUUUCAUUAAUCAGUGAACGAAAGUUAGGGGAUCGAAGACGAUCAGAUACCGUCGUAGUCUUAACCAUAAACUAUGCCGACUAGGGAUCGGGCGGUGUUAUUAUUUUGACUCGCUCGGCACCUUACGAG